rnacentral:rRNA from 1 species
AGAGUUUGAUCCUGGCUCAGGACGAACGCUGGCGGCGUGCCUAACACAUGCAAGUCGAGCGAUGAAAUCCUUCGGGAUGGAUUAGCGGCGGACGGGUGAGUAACACGUGGGUAACCUGCCUCAAAGAGGGGAAUAGCCUUCCGAAAGGAAGAUUAAUACCGCAUAAUAUGUUUUGGUCGCAUGACUAGAACAUCAAAGGAGUAAUCCGCUUUGAGAUGGACCCGCGGCGCAUUAGCUAGUUGGUGAGGUAACGGCUCACCAAGGCGACGAUGCGUAGCCGACCUGAGAGGGUGAUCGGCCACAUUGGAACUGAGACACGGUCCAGACUCCUACGGGAGGCAGCAGUGGGGAAUAUUGCGCAAUGGGGGAAACCCUGACGCAGCAACGCCGCGUGAAUGAUGAAGGCCUUCGGGUUGUAAAGUUCUGUCUUCUGGGACGAUAAUGACGUACCAGAGAGA